GUCCCGCCUUCCCCCAAGCGAGCGCCUCGCUUCUCCCUGGGCUGUUCUAAAAGUAAAAAGAAAAGGAAAAUCGAUAAGAAAGCUUAGUUAGGGCAGCACAGGGUGAGUAACUGCCUGAUAGGGUGUAUCUCAGCCUGAGUGCUCCUGAAGCCUUGCAAGCUGGUAUGAAUUGUUCCUGUGAACUUCCCAAGGAUGUUUUGUUCCCUUCCAGAGGUGUAAAGUCAGGGGUGUUGGGGAGAGUUAAGCUCGCAUUGCACGUAUUUCCCAGUGUCCUGAUCCUUCUCUGUCUUUUUUGAGAAUAAGCUACUUCUCGAUACUUUUCAAAAGGCCUUGUGAUAUCAAAGAUGCAGAUGUGUUUGCUUCCAAGUGCAUGCUUAAGUCUCAAGUAAUUAAGUGUAGCAGGUUAAGCUAAUUUUGGAGUGGAAGCCAUGGUGUCUUCACCAGGUAGUAAGUUCAGAAUAUCACUGCAAAUAAUUGAUGUUGGGGAAUAUGUGUUCAAGGCCAUUUAGCUUUUCAUCUCAAGCUUUAGAAAGGUGAAUUGUUAGCAAUACAGUGCAAGAUAGACACAUUCUGAAUGGGUUAUGGAAGCUUGCUUUUAAAACAUUUGGCUUCCCAUAUCAAAAACCUUCUUUUUCUCUGUAAAAAGUGGCACCUUGUCCUAUGGUGCUGUAAAUCAAUGAAGCCCACAGGAGUAAACACUUAGGAGUUACCACGGCUUGCACCUAUACAGUAACUACUUCUUUCUGUGUUAGGGCUCUCUUAACACCUUUAAUUUGCAGACUCUUGCUUCCUGUUGGUAUUGCUUGUUGUAUGACUUUGCCUUGAAAAGGGUGAUUGUGCUCAAGGAUGUCAGACACACCUCGCUCUCUCUGUGGUUUGGAGAGACUGGGGCAUGUGUAUGUGUACGAGACAGUAAAUAUAAUGCUGGAGUCCCUGCUGUGAUAUCAGAAGAAACAGGUCUCAGUGAUCAUGGUUUUGUUUGUUUGUUUUGUUUUGUUUUGGCUUUGAAUAUCGCAGUUUUCUUUCUGAAUCUCUUUUUGGAUCCAGCCUGGACUCUAAAUGGUUAUGGCUUUGUCUGCUCUGCUAAAUCCUUCUGUGAAAGUAAACACAGAUAUCUUAUUCAUAAUUUAUUUGGGCUUUGUUUCAGUGUAUACUGAAACUUAAACUUGUUUUGGGACCGUGACAGGGCUUGAGACUCAAGACUGAGACACUGGGUGAGGUUCUCCAAGGUGUGGUGAGCUAAUCUGUCAACCUGCUGCUGCCAAAAGGGACAGAACCUCACAGGGAAAGGAAAGCAGGGGAGCAAACCUUCUCUUUCUGGAUAACCAGCUCUUUCAUCAGCUUAGCCAUGUAUGGUACUGAAGCCUAAAACUAUGAGUCUUGUCCAACUUAAACUGCUGUAAAGGAAUUUUCUGGUGAUAAAUGCAGGCAGACAGAGCUGUAGUUUGAGUUACUGUUAUGUUUUCUAGUUUUCAGUAACCAUGAAGACAUGUCAACAAGAUUACUUUCUAUAAUAGUGAGAUCCUUUACAUUGUGCAAAAGCCUUCUGUUCCAUCGCUGUCUUUUUAUAUCUUAAAAAAUGUAAGAAGGAGAUUGGAUGAAAUUCUGAAGUCAGAAAAACAAAAUCACUUGAUGUUUUAAUUAGGUCAAGUCAUUGAUGUAUCCAGUGCUCUGGACUUCUCCAGUGACAGGCUAUCAUGUGAACAGCACACAGAGUAUUUGUGAUUCAUGUGAGUGGAAUGCAAGAGCACAGAGGUGCCUACCUGGGACUGGUGGUGUGUGCCAGCUCUGGGAUAACACCUGUGCAGGUGCCUGCAGAGAGCAAACAGAGCAAACCAUGGUGGUCGCAUGACGUCACACAAAAGCAUUGCAGAGACAGAGGUUGUAAAAGGAAUUGUUUAUCUCUUCAGCUUCUCCUGUGGAAGGUUCAGGAGGAUCACCCUCGAGACGUUCCCUGUCCUAAACUGGCCUGUUUUCAUACUGGUUCAAAGAUUGGAUCUUGAGUGGUUGAAAUGUUGGUGUGUUUCAGAUUUCUCAGGGUAAGCAGAGAGGAAAAAAAUACCCAAGCUUCCUGUUUGUAUAUCAUGGUUUUCAUAAUCUAUCUCCUGUGUGGGUUUCUAUUCUUUCUAAUGUCAUCAGGUUAUGUGGGAGCUUUAAGCUUGGAAGUUCCUUGAGUCAUUAGCAAUUUAUUUGCAUAUUUGCAGGAAAGUAACUUUCCUGUAAUCAGGUAUUACAUGGUAUCAUUUCAAGGACAGGACACUACUCAAAAUAUAAAGUAAUAGCAGCAUUUUCCUGUAAGCAAAAUAGCAUGGUCCUUAAAAUCCACCUUGCAAAAUCAGGUCUGUUAGACAUUCACAGACAUAACCAUCCCACUUAAAGGUGGCCUUACUGAGCAGUUGCUCUGGUUCUUUGUCUGAUUUCUAAUUAGCAAGAGCCAUGACAGAAAAUGUCAUUGGCUUUUGCCACUAACUGGCCUGGCUUUAUCAGGUUCUCAACUGAAAUUUUCAUAAACAUUAUCACAUUUUCAGCAGCAAAAUUGUACUUGAAAACAGUAACCAAGGAUACAAAAUUUAUUUGAUUUUAGAAACAGAUUUUUACUUUCUGGGGCUUUUAGGAGUUUGACUGACUAGGUUACUCCUACCAAAUUUGAAUGACUUCCUUUAUGCUUCUUGAAGCUCCAUGACAGAUGUUAUAUUUGAGACUUCAUAUCAUAUCUGGGUGAGGUUUAUUUUGCACCAUGAAAUGUUUCUGCAGGACUUGGAGGUUUUUGUUCAUUACUGCUUCGAGAUAUUGGUAAGAUGUCCUGUCUUUUUCAUUUAACAGGCAGAUGUUAUUUAGGUGAGAAUCCAGACCUCCAGAUUCUCAGUUUAUUGUUGUUCCACUCCUGCAGCUGCUUUGUGGUGAGAAUUUCACCAAGUUAGUCAAGUUUGCUUUGUAUUCCUGAGGAUGGGUGCUGGCACAGCUCCUGUAGCACAGAGUCCUGUGCAGAGGAGAUGGCUGGAGGCUCGUGGAGGCAUCUCCUGCAUAAAAAAACAGUGCAGGCAGCUUCACAUUUACCCCCAGGAUGUCACUGUGAAUCAUGAUUUUGGGCCCUGAUCUUCUCCAUAGUCCUCUUCAUGUAGUUUCUUGCCAUGAUUUAAUGUUUGAUGAGUUUACGUCUGUAGUUUGUUCAGAUGCUAACUUAUUAAAAUGUUGUUUACAUGAGAGAAGGCCAUUCACAUUAUCAUAAUGUGUAGAGAUCUGGCCUGUCAGGUAACUUGGCAAUUUCUUCUCUUUUUUUCAGUCCUUUUGGCAGCUCAUUAUAAUGGGUCAUGUUUUUGUGAUCUACAUUAAAAUCUUGUUGUGCAUCUGAUGAAUUGAAGACUUUACUCGUAAAACAGUAGUACUCCAAAACUUUCAGACAGGACUUUGAAAACUUUAGGUACUUACACAGAAACAGUAGAAGCUAAUUAUAUAUGUUAAUGAUACAUAUGAAUGAAAGUAGACUGUCUAAUACUGCACAGACUGAUGGUGAAGGGAGGAGAAGAGUGUGUGGUUUUCAAGGCAAAUCUUUGUAGCAACAUCUCAUGCAGUUCCAUCUUCUGUCAGAUCUUCUGUCAGAA